AAGCAGUCGAAGUAGCACAGAGAGCUUGCUCUCGGGUGACGAGUGGCGGACGGGUGAGUAAUGUCUGGGAAACUGCCUGAUGGAGGGGGAUAACUACUGGAAACGGUAGCUAAUACCGCAUAACGUCGCAAGACCAAAGAGGGGGACCUUCGGGCCUCUUGCCAUCAGAUGUGCCCAGAUGGGAUUAGCUAGUAGGUGGGGUAACGGCUCACCUAGGCGACGAUCCCUAGCUGGUCUGAGAGGAUGACCAGCCACACUGGAACUGAGACACGGUCCAGACUCCUACGGGAGGCAGCAGUGGGGAAUAUUGCACAAUGGGCGCAAGCCUGAUGCAGCCAUGCCGCGUGUAUGAAGAAGGCCUUCGGGUUGUAAAGUACUUUCAGCGGGGAGGAAGGUGUUGAGGUUAAUAACCUCAGCAAUUGACGUUACCCGCAGAAGAAGCACCGGCUAACUCCGUGCCAGCAGCCGCGGUAAUACGGAGGGUGCAAGCGUUAAUCGGAAUUACUGGGCGUAAAGCGCACGCAGGCGGUCUGUCAAGUCGGAUGUGAAAUCCCCGGGCUCAACCUGGGAACUGCAUUCGAAACUGGCAGGCUAGAGUCUUGUAGAGGGGGGUAGAAUUCCAGGUGUAGCGGUGAAAUGCGUAGAGAUCUGGAGGAAUACCGGUGGCGAAGGCGGCCCCCUGGACAAAGACUGACGCUCAGGUGCGAAAGCGUGGGGAGCAAACAGGAUUACAUACCCUGGUAGUCCACGCCGUAAACGAUGUCGACUUGGAGGUUGUGCCCUUGACGCGUGGCUUCCGGGAGCUAACGCGUUAAGUCGACCGCCUGGGGAGUACGGCCGCAAGGUUAAAAUCAACUGAAUUGACCGGGGGCCCGCACAACGGUGGAGCAUGUGGUUUACUGGG
rnacentral:rRNA from 1 species